rnacentral:rRNA from 1 species
AGUGCAUGUGGUGGAUGCCUUGGCAGUCAGAGGCGAUGAAAGACGUGAUAGCCUGCGAAAAGCUCCGGGGAGGCGGCAAAUAUCCUUUGAUCCGGAGAUGUCUGAAUGGGGGAACCCACCUACUUUAAGGUAGGUAUUGCAACAUGAAUACAUAGUGUUGCAAGGCGAACGAGGGGAAGUGAAACAUCUCAGUACCCUUAGGAAAAGAAAUCAAUUGAGAUUCCCUCAGUAGCGGCGAGCGAACGGGGAUCAGCUCAUUAAGUUAUGUGUGUUUUAGUGGAACGCUCUGGGAAGUGCGAACGUAGAGGGUGAUAUUCCCGUACAUGAAAGGGCACACAUAAUGAUGACGAGUAGGGCGAGGCACGUGAAACCUUGUCUGAAUAUGGGGGGACCAUCCUCCAAGGCUAAAUACUCCUGACUGACCGAUAGUGAACCAGUACCGUGAGGGAAAGGCGAAAAGAACCCCUGUGAGGGGAGUGAAAUAGAUCCUGAAACCGCAUGCAUACAAGCAGUGGGAGCACCUUCGUGGUGUGACUGCGUACCUUUUGUAUAAUCGGUCAGCGACUUAUAUUCAGUAGCGAGGUUAACCGUAUAGGGGAGCCGUAGAGAAAUCGAGUCUUAAUAGGGCGUUUAGUUGCUGGGUAUAGACCCGAAACCAGGCGAUCUAUCCAUGAGCAGGUUGAAGGUUGGGUAACACUAACUGGAGGACCGAACCCACUGUCGUUGGAAAGCCAGGGGAUGACUUGUGGAUAGGGGUGAAAGGCUAAUCAAGCCUGGUGAUAGCUGGUUCUCCCCGAAAGCUAUUUAGGUAGCGCCUCGGACGAAUACCAUAGGGGGUAGAGCACUGUUUCGGCUAGGGGGUCAUCCCGACUUACCAAACCGAUGCAAACUCCGAAUACCUAUGAGUACUAUCCGGGAGACAGACUGCGGGUGCUAACGUCCGUAGUCAAGAGGAAAACAAUCCAGACCGCCAGCUAAGGCCCCAAAAUCAUAGUUAAGUGGGAAACGAUGUGGGAAGGCAUAGACAGCUAGGAGGUUGGCUUAGAAGCAGCCACCCUUUAAAGAAAGCGUAAUAGCUCACUAGUCGAGUCGGCCUGCGCGGAAGAUGUAACGGGGCUAAAACUAUGUGCCGAAGCUGCGGAUGUAUACUUUGUAUACGUGGUAGGGGAGCGUUCUGUAAGCCGAUGAAGGUGUGUUGAGAAGCAUGCUGGAGGUAUCAGAAGUGCGAAUGCUGACGUGAGUAACGACAAAACGGGUGAAAAACCCGUUCGCCGAAAGACCAAGGGUUCCAGUCCAACGUUAAUCGGGGCUGGGUGAGUCGACCCCUAAGGCGAGGCCGAAAGGCGUAGUCGAUGGGAAAAUGGUUAAUAUUCCAUUACUUCUGUGUAAUGCGAUGAGAGGACGGAGAAGGCUAAAUCAGCCUGGCGUUGGUUGUCCAGGUGAAAGGAUGUAGGCAUGUAUCUUAGGCAAAUCCGGGGUACUCUAUGCUGAGAUCUGAUAGCAAGCUGUACUUGUACAGCGAAGUGGUUGAUGCCAUGCUUCCAGGAAAAGUCUCUAAGCUUCAGUUACACAGGAAUCGUACCCGAAACCGACACAGGUGGUCAGGUCGAGUAGACCAAGGCGCUUGAGAGAACUCUGCUGAAGGAACUAGGCAAAAUGGUACCGUAACUUCGGGAGAAGGUACGCUGUUGUUGGUGAUGGAACUCGCUUCCUGAGCUGACGACAGCCGCAGAAACCAGGCCGCUGCAACUGUUUAUUAAAAACAUAGCACUCUGCAAACACGAAAGUGGACGUAUAGGGUGUGAUGCCUGCCCGGUGCUGGAAGGUUAAUUGAUGGGGUUAGCGUAAGCGAAGCUCUUGAUCGAAGCCCCAGUAAACGGCGGCCGUAACUAUAACGGUCCUAAGGUAGCGAAAUUCCUUGUCGGGUAAGUUCCGACCUGCACGAAUGGCAUAAUGAUGGCGGCGCUGUCUCCAGCAGAGGCUCAGUGAAAUCGAAAUCGCUGUGAAGAUGCAGUGUACCCGCGGCUAGACGGAAAGACCCCGUGAACCUUUACUGCAGCUUGACACUGAACUUUGACCUUACUUGUGUAGGAUAGGUGGGAGGCUUUGAAGCUGGAACGCUAGUUCCAGUGGAGCCGUCCUUGAAAUACCACCCUGGUAAUGUUGAGGUUCUAACUCUGUCCCGUGAUCCGGGACGAGGACCGUGUCUGGUGGGUAGUUUGACUGGGGCGGUCUCCUCCUAAAGAGUAACGGAGGAGUACGAAGGUGCGCUCAGCGUGGUCGGAAAUCACGCGUAGAGUAUAAAGGCAAAAGCGCGCUUAACUGCGAGACCCACAAGUCGAGCAGGUACGAAAGUAGGUCUUAGUGAUCCGGUGGUUCUGUAUGGAAGGGCCAUCGCUCAACGGAUAAAAGGUACUCUGGGGAUAACAGGCUGAUACCGCCCAAGAGUUCAUAUCGACGGCGGUGUUUGGCACCUCGAUGUCGGCUCAUCUCAUCCUGGGGCUGAAGCAGGUCCCAAGGGUAUGGCUGUUCGCCAUUUAAAGAGGUACGCGAGCUGGGUUUAGAACGUCGUGAGACAGUUCGGUCCCUAUCUACCGUGGGCGCUGGAAAUUUGAGAGGAUCUGCUCCUAGUACGAGAGGACCAGAGUGGACGAACCUCUGGUGUACCGGUUGUGACGCCAGUCGCAUCGCCGGGUAGCUAUGUUCGGAAGGGAUAACCGCUGAAAGCAUCUAAGCGGGAAGCCUACCUCAAGAUAAGAUUUCCCUAGGACUUUAUGUCCUCUAAAGAGCCGUUCGAGACUAGGACGUUGAUAGGUUGGAUGUGGAAGCAUAGUGAUAUGUGAAGCUGACCAAUACUAAUUGCUCGUGAGGCUUGACU